rnacentral:rRNA from 8 species
GGUAUCAGAAGUGCGAAUGCUGACAUAAGUAACGAUAAAGCGGGUGAAAAGCCCGCUCGCCGGAAGACCAAGGGUUCCUGUCCAACGUUAAUCGGGGCAGGGUGAGUCGACCCCUAAGGCGAGGCCGAAAGGCGUAGUCGAUGGGAAACGGGUUAAUAUUCCCGUACUUGGUGUUACUGCGAAGGGGGGACGGAGAAGGCUAUGUUGGCCGGGCGACGGUUGUCCCGGUUUAAGCGUGUAGGUGUGUGUUCCAGGUAAAUCCGGUUCACUUUAACACUGAGGCGUGACGACGAGGCACUACGGUGCUGAAGCAACAAAUGCCCUGCUUCCAGGAAAAGCCUCUAAGCAUCAGGUAACAUCAAAUCGUACCCCAAACCGACACAGGUGGUCAGGUAGAGAAUACCAAGGCGCUUGAGAGAACUCGGGUGAAGGAACUAGGCAAAAUGGUGCCGUAACUUCGGGAGAAGGCACGCUGACACGUAGGUGAAGUGAUUUACUCAUGGAGCUGAAGUCAGUCGAAGAUACCAGCUGGCUGCAACUGUUUAUUAAAAACACAGCACUGUGCAAACACGAAAGUGGACGUAUACGGUGUGACGCCUGCCCGGUGCCGGAAGGUUAAUUGAUGGGGUCAGCGCAAGCGAAGCUCCUGAUCGAAGCCCCGGUAAACGGCGGCCGUAACUAUAACGGUCCUAAGGUAGCGAAAUUCCUUGUCGGGUAAGUUCCGACCUGCACGAAUGGCGUAAUGAUGGCCAGGCUGUCUCCACCCGAGACUCAGUGAAAUUGAACUCGCUGUGAAGAUGCAGUGUACCCGCGGCAAGACGGAAAGACCCCGUGAACCUUUACUAUAGCUUGACACUGAACAUUGAGCCUUGAUGUGUAGGAUAGGUGGGAGGCUUUGAAGUGUGGACGCCAGUCUGCAUGGAGCCGACCUUGAAAUACCACCCUUUAAUGUUUGAUGUUCUAACGUGGACCCGUAAUCCGGGUUGCGGACAGUGUCUGGUGGGUAGUUUGACUGGGGCGGUCUCCUCCUAAAGAGUAACGGAGGAGCACGAAGGUUGGCUAAUCCUGGUCGGACAUCAGGAGGUUAGUGCAAUGGCAUAAGCCAGCUUGACUGCGAGCGUGACGGCGCGAGCAGGUGCGAAAGCAGGUCAUAGUGAUCCGGUGGUUCUGAAUGGAAGGGCCAUCGCUCAACGGAUAAAAGGUACUCCGGGGAUAACAGGCUGAUACCGCCCAAGAGUUCAUAUCGACGGCGGUGUUUGGCACCUCGAUGUCGGCUCAUCACAUCCUGGGGCUGAAGUAGGUCCCAAGGGUAUGGCUGUUCGCCAUUUAAAGUGGUACGCGAGCUGGGUUUAGAACGUCGUGAGACAGUUCGGUCCCUAUCUGCCGUGGGCGCUGGAGAACUGAGGGGGGCUGCUCCUAGUACGAGAGGACCGGAGUGGACGCAUCACUGGUGUUCGGGUUGUCAUGCCAAUGGCACUGCCCGGUAGCUAAAUGCGGAAGAGAUAAGUGCUGAAAGCAUCUAAGCACGAAACUUGCCCCGAGAUGAGUUCU